CGUAUGAAAGUACGUUUUCACCCUCGGGUGGACAGGGAGACAGGUGGUGCAUGGUUGUCGUCAGCUCGUGUCGUGAGAUGUGGUUAAGUCCCGCAACGAGCGCAACCCCUACGUUUAGUUGCUAACGCGUGAAGGCGAGCACUCUAGACGAACUGCCGUUGACAAAACGGAGGAAGGUGGGGAUGACGUCAAAUCAUCAUGCCCCUUAUGUUCUGGGCUACACACGUGCUACAAUGGCCGGUACAGACGGACGCAAAGCCGCGAGGUGGAGCAAAUCCUAAAAAGCCGGUCUCAGUUCGGAUUGCAGGCUGCAAUUCGCCUGCAUGAAGUCGGAAUCGCUAGUAAUCGCAGGUCAGCAUACUGCGGUGAAUACGUUCCCGGGCCUU
rnacentral:rRNA from 1 species